rnacentral:rRNA from 1 species
UUUAUUGGAGAGUUUGAUCCUGGCUCAGGAUGAACGCUGGCGGCGUGCCUAAUACAUGCAAGUCGAGCGAAUGGAUUGAGAGCUUGCUCUCAAGAAGUUAGCGGCGGACGGGUGAGUAACACGUGGGUAACCUGCCCAUAAGACUGGGAUAACUCCGGGAAACCGGGGCUAAUACCGGAUAAUAUUUUGAACUGCAUGGUUCGAAAUUGAAAGGCGGCUUCGGCUGUCACUUAUGGAUGGACCCGCGUCGCAUUAGCUAGUUGGUGAGGUAACGGCUCACCAAGGCAACGAUGCGUAGCCGACCUGAGAGGGUGAUCGGCCACACUGGGACUGAGACACGGCCCAGACUCCUACGGGAGGCAGCAGUAGGGAAUCUUCCGCAAUGGACGAAAGUCUGACGGAGCAACGCCGCGUGAGUGAUGAAGGCUUUCGGGUCGUAAAACUCUGUUGUUAGGGAAGAACAAGUGCUAGUUGAAUAAGCUGGCACCUUGAC